rnacentral:rRNA from 1 species
CCUACGGGCGGCAGCAGUAGGGAAUUUUCGUCAAUGGGCGCAAGCCUGAACGAGCAAUGCCGCGUGAACGAGGAAGGUCUUCGGAUCGUAAAGUUCUGUUGAAGGGGAAAAAGAGCGGAGAGAGGAAAUGGUCUCCGAUUGAUAUUACCCUUCGAGGAAGUCACGGCUAACUACGUGCCAGCAGCCGCGGUAAUAGGUAGGUGGCGAGCGUUAUCCGGAAUGAUUGGGCGAAAGGGGUGCGUAGGCGGCCUGCUAAGUCUGGAGUGAAAGGUACGGGCUCAACCGGUACAGGCUCUGGAAACUGGCGGGCUAGAGAGCAGGAGAGGGCGGUGGAAUGCCAUGUGUAGCGGUAAAAUGCGUAGAUAUAUGGAAGAACACCAGUGGCGAAGGCGGGUUCCUGGACAUUAACUGACGCUGAGGCACGAAGGCCAGGGGAGCGAAAGGGAUUAGAUACCCGUGUAGUC